CAUUAGUCGAACCUAGACCACGUGCGUCGGAAACAAUAAUGAAUUAUAGCAGCGAAUUCGUCACUGAAGAGGCUGUUUCUUGACUACAGUCGCAUGGAAUGAGACUUAAGAAAGGAAAGAAAAAGACGGUUGCGAUGGCCAAGAUCUCCUUGCCAUCGCCCAAGAUGCAGACGUACCAAGGCACUACAUCCCUAUUAUAAAAGAGCGUCUAAAGCUCAAGAAAUUGAUUGCAAUGAACGCUGAACCUAGAGAUGACACGAGUUCUUCGUCGCGUGCAGAAUCAAGUCCUUCGAGUAAGACGGUUCAAACGUCGAUUGAUGAUUCAGAAAACAUCAGCGAUUAUGAAAAUUUAGAGGUGACAUUGGCACCGAAAGAAAUGGGUAAAUCAAUAUUAUAAAUCGCUCAAGGAUCUCUGUUUUACGGACGAGGCGACAGAACUGAGCACUGUCUAAGUAAGUUCUUGUAUAUUAAACUUAGCAGGAUGGUGAAGAGUACAUUAUCGAUUACUUUCUUUCGAUUAUAUCCUAAAGGAAAGCACACAAGGUGCCAGUUGGUCAGUUAAAGAUGACAAAUCUCGGGGAUUGCACCCACAAAAAUGGCGAGAUUUGCUUUAUUUUUAUUGAAAUAUAUUAGAUAUGUAUUUACUUGCACCAUGCAUAAAACAAAGUAAACCCAAUUUUUAAAUCUGGUAAAUUAAAAAAUUAGUGAAUUGAUAGGAUGUUAUCAGACAGUUUAAUUUUUUUGAAAACAAAUAUUUACCUACAGGUUCCUCCUGAAUGGCUUUCAAAAUUCCAACUACCAUCGAGGUUCUCUGCCUCAGUAGAGUUGGAUACCCAGAAGGGAUAUCUCAUCAGCAGCCUAAAGUACUCUGAGCAACAGUGGAUUGCAAAAAAAAAAUUAUUGCAGAGUAUCCUUGUAUGGUUAGCAGGAUACUAGACUAAGUUGACUUGGAAACUGAAUGGAUUGGUAUGGUCUAAAAAUCUAUUGCUUCACCUCUUCUGCUUGCAGUGAAGAGAGACAAUUUUGUGGUGCUGAAUC